GGGGUUGUGGCUCAGUGGUAGAGCACUUGCCUAGCAUGUGCAGGGGCUUGGGUUCAAUCCUCAGCACCA
rnacentral:tRNA from 1 species